GGUGAGCACCACAAAAGCCCCCUCUGUCUGUCUGGUUUGCUGAUCUGCCCAGCACAGUGUCGGGCACACACUAGGCACCUCACCAAUGCUUGCUGAGUGACUGACAGAGAACUUCCAGCUUCCAGUAAUGAACGGCAGGCUAAAUGAUUUGGGCCCAUCCUCGCACUGAAAACAACUGAAAAUGCUGGAUAACAUUUUUUAAAACAUUCGAAGCACUGAAGAGUCGGCAGUACCAAAGGGAAUUGUCAGGCCCAACUUGGGGGGAACAGGAAUCCGGACAGACAACCCAGAGUUCAAAGGAUACUGAUGAGAGAUACUGGACCCAGUGUGCUCUUGGCCAAGGGCCAUGAUGUUGUACAAUGCCAAGUUCAAUAGAGCAAAAGACACAAGAAACAGCUGAAGAAAUCUUGAUGAUGCCAUCACCACCUGAGGGUCCUUCAACCCCAGGCCCCAAGAUAAACCAAGGAGCACUGAUGUCCCUGAUUGAACAGCCCGCCAGCAUCACCUGC